rnacentral:rRNA from 1 species
AUUGAACGCUGGCGGCAGGCCUAACACAUGCAAGUCGAGCGGAGCGGCGGACGGGUGAGUAAUGCCUAUGAAUCUGCCUGCUAGUGGGGGUUAACGUCCGGAAACGGGCGCUAAUACCGCCUACUCUCAGAUGAGCCUAUGUCGGAUUAGCUAGUUGGUGGGGUAAAGGCUUACCAAGUCGACGACCCGUAACUGGUCUGAGAGGAGGAUCAGUCACACUGGAACUGAGACACGGUCCAGACUCCUACGGGAGGCAGCAGUGGGGAAUAUUGGACAAUGGGCGAAAGCCUGAUCCAGCCAUGCCGCGUGUGUGAAGAAGGUCUUCGGAUUGUAAAGCACUUUAAGUUGGGAGGCGUUACCAACAGAAUAAGCACCGGCUAACUACGUGCCAGCAGCCGCGGUAAUAC